UCCUGAUCAUCUUCUCUAGGUGAUUCCUCCUUGUUGCUUCCAGCCAGCCACUGGAAGGACUAGAAUCUCUGGAGAUACCCCGUCUGGAGAGCCACCCAAGCUAGCUGGGGGCUGGCUUUUUGCGAAGACCCCGUGGCCAAGGUAAAGUCCCCAUCCUGCAUAAGGUGCCAGAGCCUGUGAAUCUUGGAGGAGAAGGAAGAGCCGCAGAGGAUAAGAACUCGCGAUUCCGUGAGCCGGUGACUGCGGUGACCCGCAUCCCGAGGCGGCUGCCUUUCCGAGAAGCUCACCUCCGUAAAACACACACCAUUGCUGAGAGAGCAAUUUGUCAGUCCCCUCGAAUGAAGGGUGC